rnacentral:rRNA from 1 species
GAUGAACGCUGGCGGCAUGCCUAAUACAUGCAAGUCGAGCGAACAGACAAUGAGCUUUUGCCUUUGACGUUAGCGGCGGACGGACGAGUAACACGUGCAUCACCUACCUAUAUUUCUGGGAGAAUUUCGGGAAACCGGAUAUAAUACUGGAUAAUAUAUUGAACCGCAGAGUGCAAUAGAGAAUGACGGCUUUCGUGUCAGUUAUAGAUGGAUCCGCGCCGCAUUAGCUAGUUGGUAAGGUGACGGCUUACCAAGGCGACGAUGCGUAGCCGAUCUGAGAGGGUGAUCGGCCACACUGGAACUGAGACACGGUCCAGACUCCUACGGGAGGCAGCAGUAGGGAAUCUUGCGCAAUGGGCGAAAGCCUGACGCAGCCAUGCCGCGUGAGUGAUGAAGGCCUUCGGAUCGUAAAGCUCUGUUGUUGGGGAAGAACAGCUGUAUAAGUAUACAUGGACGUAUUGACGGUACCUAAUGAAAAAGCACCGGCUAACUACGUG